rnacentral:rRNA from 1 species
GACGAACGCUGGCGGCGUGCCUAAUACAUGCAAGUAGAACGCUGAAGCUUGGUGCUUGCACCGAGCGGAUGAGUUGCGAACGGGUGAGUAACGCGUAGGUAACCUGCCUGGUAGCGGGGGAUAACUAUUGGAAACGAUAGCUAAUACCGCAUAAGAGUAGAUGUUGCAUGACAUUUGCUUAAAAGGUGCAAUUGCAUCACUACCAGAUGGACCUGCGUUGUAUUAGCUAGUUGGUGAGGUAACGGCUCACCAAGGCAACGAUACAUAGCCGACCUGAGAGGGUGAUUGGCCACACUGGGACUGAGACACGGCCCAGACUCCUACGGGAGGCAGCAGUAGGGAAUCUUCGGCAAUGGACGGAAGUCUGACCGAGCAACGCCGCGUGAGUGAAGAAGGUUUUCGGAUCGUAAAGCUCUGUUGUAAGAGAAGAACGAGUGUGAGAGUGGAAAGUUCACACUGUGACGGUAUCUUACCAGAAAGGGACGGCUAACUACGUG